AUUGAACGCUGGCGGCAUGCCUUACACAUGCAAGUCGAACGGCAGCACGGGUGCUUGCACCUGGUGGCGAGUGGCGAACGGGUGAGUAACACAUCGGAACAUGUCCUGUAGUGGGGGAUAGCCCGGCGAAAGCCGGAUUAAUACCGCAUACGAUCUACGGAUGAAAGCGGGGGACCUUCGGGCCUCGCGCUAUAGGGUUGGCCGAUGGCUGAUUAGCUAGUUGGUGGGGUAAAGGCCUACCAAGGCGACGAUCAGUAGCUGGUCUGAGAGGACGACCAGCCACACUGGGACUGAGACACGGCCCAGACUCCUACGGGAGGCAGCAGUGGGGAAUUUUGGACAAUGGGCGAAAGCCUGAUCCAGCAAUGCCGCGUGUGUGAAGAAGGCCUUCGGGUUGUAAAGCACUUUUGUCCGGAAAGAAAUCCUUGGCCCUAAUACGGUCGGGGGAUGACGGUACCGGAAGAAUAAGCACCGGCUAACUACGUG
rnacentral:rRNA from 1 species